UUCGUUUCGUACUCAAUAUAUACAGCCUUUCUUACUUAGUCCGUUUGGGAAUCCAUAAAUGUUUUGCAUCUUUUGGUUUGUUUAGUCGAUAUUUAAUUCAAAAUCUCGAAGCUGGAUAUAUAAUAUAUAAAACUAUUUGUGCAUGCCUGUAAUCGUUUUCGUUUUUAAUCUUUAGACCAUCUUACAAAGAAAUGAAUCCUCCACAACGAUUCCAAGCAAAUGUUCCUGUGAUACUUGAACUAGAUAUGCAGUUUUGUUCAAUAGAAGCUGGGAUUUAACCUUAUGAGAAUCGAAAAGGUUUUUAAAUAAGCCAACGGGUAAUUCCAUGUGAUUCCUUUGUACCCCUAUUGUUCGGCGAGUUGCAGGUGUUGGCAUUUUGUUAUAUGUCGUUUUCAAGGUUGUGAGGGGAUCUCAACAUGAAGCUUUUGCAGCUCUUCAUCACAGCAUCAGUUCCUGUCUUGAAACUGCUCUUGAUUACCGGACUUGGGGCUUAUCUUGCUCGAGAUGGUAUCGAUAUUUUGGGGGAAGAUGCUAGGAAGCAUUUAAAUACUGUUGCAUUCUAUGUAUUUUGUCCAGCCCUUGUAGCCUCCAAGCUGGCCCAAACAAUAACAAGCAAGAGCAUCGUUGAGAUGUGGUUUAUGCCAAUCAAUAUCCUCAUCACAUUUAUUAUUGGUUCUAUUCUUGGAUGGAUAGUUAUCCUGGUUACAAGAGCUCCUCCACACCUGAGUGGCCUCAUAUUGGGUUGCUGCUCUGCAGGAAAUUUAGGGACCAUUCUGUUGAUUAUAAUCCCGUCUAUUUGUAAAGAAAAAGGAGGGCCGUUUGGAGCACCUGAUGUCUGUCAAACAAAUGGAAUGGGUUAUGUUUCACUUUCAAUGGCGAUUGGAAGCAUUUAUAUUUGGUCUUACGCGUAUAAUAUCGUACGGAUAUUUUCAAGGAGAAGCACCAAAGGAUCAGAAGUAAGUGAAAUCUCUAUCAGUAUGCCUUCCAAAGAAUCCUCCACAUCAGACCCAGAGAGUUGCAUAGAGCCGCUACCUUCUUCCUCCAAGGACAUGAUAGCUGAGGACAAUGAAGAUCAUCAAUGUGCAGUUCCCUGCAGUAGAUCUGUAGCGAAACCUGAGGUUGUCUCCAGCAUCAAUAUGGUUUCAGUUACAGAUAAAGUAAAGCAAAAUAUAUCAAUGCUGUUCAGAAAAACUAAUAUGAGCGCGAUACUUAAUCCUUCAACUAUUGCAGCGAUUGUUGGGUUUGUAAUUGGACUUGUCCCCGAGAUCCGAAAGUUAAUGAUUGGUGAAGGUGCUCCUCUUCGUGUUAUCCAAGACUCUGUCCUCUUGUUGGGUUUCCCAAUACUCUCUUCACAAGUACAGAGAUGGAGCCAUUCCAGCUGUCACUCUGAUAAUCGGUGGAAACCUUCUCAAAGGUUUGCAAGGCCAAGGAAUUCGAAAAUCCUUUAUCAUUGGCAUUGUAAUCGUUCGUUAUAUUGCCCUGCCUUUGACAGGGAUUUUCAUUAUUAAAGGUGCCCAAAAAAUUGGUUUGCUGCACUCGGAUCCAUUGUACCGGUUCGUUCUCUUGCUCCAGUAUGCACUUCCUCCUGCUAUGAGCAUAGGAGUCAUGACUCAACUGUUUGGAGCAGGAGAGAAUGAAUGUUCUGUGAUCAUGCUGUGGACUUAUGCCUUGGCUUCGAUUUCACUUACUCUAUGGUCAACCGCCUUCAUUUGGCUCGUGGCUUGAAGUCUCAGCUUUUAUUAAAUAUAUCCACAAUCUUAUCUAUUAUUGCAGCCAAUUGUGGAAUGUGCGACUUACAACAGAUUUUGGACUUUUUUUUUGAAGUAUUUGGAAUAAGAAAGUCGGAUCAGAUUAAAUUAAA